UUUGUUCAGUUUGUUCGUGACUUGCCCCUGUGAAGUGUGUUGUGGCUCUGUGGAGGAAAAAGGGUUGUAUUAGAGGUAGGAAUUGCACAUAUGGAAUUCUGACUGUUUUGUUCCACUUGAAAAUCACAGACCAAAAGCAGGCCACAUCUCACCAAGACUUAGCAGUGAGGUGCCCUGGAGAACAACACUAUAGCUGUCAGUGCAGCAAAGCCUUAAAAAGGCCUGAGACGGGGGAAUGGUUUGCUCCUUCAUGUGACCUCUCGUUCACAACUGGCUUUGCUUUUGUUUCCCUGUAAGUAAUCAUUAGCAAUAGAACUGAAGGAACCAAGAUGUCAGUGGAAUGGGGUUGCCCACUGGGAGGCAGUGGCUUUGCUUUCCUUUUGCAAACUUCAAAUGGGGCUUGAUGUGGACAACCCAUGAAGUUAAACUCAGGGCUGCAGCCCUGGCAGAGGGGUUGGACAAGAUGAUCUUCAGAGGUCCCUUCCAACCCUAAGGAUUCUGUGCUGCUGUUUGUAUCGCUGCUGCUUGCAGUAAGGCAAGAUGGGGUUUUCAUGUUGCUUGCAAGGCAGAUAUAUUUUAUUUUUCCUUGUAAGCUAUGGAAAAACCUAAAGCUUCUUAAAAGAAAUUUUUUAAAGCAAUUCAGCUUUUUGAAACUGCAUAAUUGAAGAGCUCUGAAAUAAUUGGCUUAUUAUAGUGCACCCGUAAAAAUGAAUUUGCAUCUCAUUUAUGAACUAUUAGAUUCCUUAUUACAUGAGACUGAUUGUUCUUAAUGUGACUUGCAUGUAAUUUAGCAUUCUUUACUCAAACACUUUGUAGCUAAACACUGGGGGAGGGAAGUUCAUUCCAAAAUCAUGGCACUAGAACUUGGAGCACUCACACCUGGAUCUUGCUCAGUGUGCUCUCAUUAUGGUGUUUGUCUCUAUUCUCAUCCCAGUUCUACACUGGGGGCCAGAAGUCCAAGAUUACCCAACCCAUUUUUUCCUUAACUGUUCCCCACUGUUAAGACCUGCUUAUACCCCAGUCUUCUGUAAAACUGAAGAUAAACAUGAGCUGUAAGUACCCAAGACUGAGCUGUGUGGCGCUGUCAAUAGGCUGGAGGGGCAGGGCUGGGAUACAGAGGGACCUAUAGAGGCUGGAGAGGUGGGUCCAUGUGAACCUCAUGAAGCUGAGCAAGGUCCUGCCCCUGGGUCCAAGUGAUCCCAAGCACAAGCACAGGCUGGGGAAGAGUGGAUGGAGAAGUCCUGAGGAGGAGGACACUGUGGGUAUUGUGUAAUGAGAAGCUCCCCAAGACUGAGCUGUGUGUGCUUGAGCCCAGAAAGCCCCUUGGGUGGAAGCCUAUGGGUGUCUGCAGUGAAGUUAUGCCAGUGGUUAAGCCCUUGUCUGGGGAUGAGUGGGGGGAUUGCUGAGCCAAUGCUUUCCAGCUGCUGGGCUGGGAAUUCAACAUGUUGAAAAUAGCCACCUGUAACGGUACAGAAAGCUGUUCCCUUGCAGCAGAAACUGGGCACUAACACAGUGAGGAAUCAUGCCCUCCCCUGUGUGCUUCAGUCAGCAUUUCCUAUGGGUUUCUGAGAUGAUUCAGGGUCCAGUCCUCCACCUUUGGAGUGGAGACAAAAACACUGGAACACAGAAGACCCAGCCCUGCAAGACUACCUGUGGUGAUACUGAACAGAAGUCUCUCCUCAGUCCCCUGCUGAUACCUCAGGCUACAACAGUCCAGGGAAAGUACUCCAGCCUAAAAUGAUCUAAAAACCAGAAUAAUAUUAGAUGAAGGAAUUUCCUCUAAAGUAGUAGUUUCUGCCUCUCUAAGUACGCUGUAGAAAGACACAGGGUGCAGUGUUUUGAUCAGUUUGUUCUUUCUUCCACUGUCACAUGUAAAGCAGAUUGAAGCAGCAUCUCUCUCUGUUGGCAUAAGGGAUUGCAUGCGUUUUGUGGUGGCCUCCUGACAAAAAAUGCAGAGUAAUUGCUGUGCUCCCAGCUCUUAGAUGUGUACAGCGCUUGCCUCCAUUUCAGUCAUGUAUGAGCCGUGCUGCCUUUUACACACUACUCAUUUACACAGGCUUAGCUUUACUCCUGAUUUAGAUCCAGCUGCUCCAGCACAGAUUUAGCUACAGUUACAUUGCUGGGCUUUUGUGCUGCUCUUUUGUAAAGCUCAUGGAACUGUGCACAGCCACCCCUGGCUGUUAUUGCAGGAGACCCCAAACCUCCCCAUGCCUGGAGCUGCACACAAACCACCCUGUGGGUGCUCAUGUCUUCUGCCAGUGGCCCAAGAUGGAGUCAUGGACUGCCUGGACUGUCAGAGGAAGGAGCAUUUUCAUGGCUAAAGGGUUCAUGCUCAUGAAAGGAAUGAAUUUUCCCUUUUGUGCAGGAGGAUUCUGUACUUCACCUUUUUGCAGAGGCCAAAACUGACACCUGGAAAGAUAAAAGAUGUCAGCUCUCUGCUGGUGUUUCAUCCCAAGUGGAAAGACCUGUGCUGACUUCAGCUCCCAAAGAAUUUGUCCAUAUCUGUGUUCUUUCAGAGAUGAAAUGAAUUCCCUUUCUGUACUAAGAACAGACUCUGAAGUUAAACCCAAGCUGGAUGUGGAUGCUGUGAGCCAGGCUCAGUAUCUGGGUGGAAGCGCACCUGUUGAACAGCUUUGUUCAAAAGGAAGCUCAGGAGGAUUGGACAAAGCGGUGGUAAGAAGUUAAAUC